UCUUGCUCUAAUCUUAUCAAUUGCCUCAAUUGUUCAUUCAAUGAUUUUAGGAUCCAAAAUUCUAUUCUCUCCAAUCUCAUCCCAAUGGAUAGGAGACUGCACUUUUUACCAUAAAGAGCUUUAUAUGGGACCAUGCCUAUAGUGAAUAAAAACUAUUGUUGUAAGCAAACUCCACUAACGGUAGGUGUGUCUCCCAACUAUCGCCAAGAUCCAAAACACAUGCCUUCAACAUAUCUUUAAGAGUUUGAAUUUUUUUUUUCUUUCUGAUUGUCCAUCCUUAUGCGAAUGAUAAGUAGUGCUAAACUUUAAUUUCGUCCCUAUGACUGUCUGCAAACUUUUCCAAAAUUUUGAUGUAAACUUUGGGUUUCCAUCUGAAACAAUGAUGACAGGAAGGGUCGGCCCUUAGGCCAACCUUCCUAGGCAAAGGCCUAGAGCCUCCAAAAAUUGGCUUGGGGCCAGGACCUCAAAAUGGAUACAAAUUCCAAGCGAUAAAUCCAAUAAAAAAGGGCCCGGAAAGAUUUUCAAAUCUGCUUUCAAUUUGGUGACUGACGAUUUCCUUUCUUCCCCCACUUCCACAAUUCUCCAGAAUCAAAUUCAACCUCCCACCUCCACUUAUUUUAGUUUACUUUCUCUCGAUUUCUCCGGACUUCAAUUCAUGAUUCUAUUUCUUCAAUGUUCUCUCCAGACUCCAGCCCAUAUCGGUCGGUGACAUCUCUUCAGGUAUGAAGUAUAACUUUCUAGAUUUAACAUUUAACAAUUUCAGUUUGGGAGGAAUGUUUAGAAAAACUUUGAAUGAUUGAAUCUUUUCAAGAGUUUGAAGUUGGGGGUGUUGUAUUUUGACUAUUGUCUGAUUUUAUUUUUUAUUUUUUAUUUUUUAUUUUUUGUGAACGAAAGGGGAAAAAUAAUACAUUCGUGUUGUCAGUACAGAUUGUAUGUAUAUAUUAAGGUUUUGGGGCUCCUGAGAAGCUCAGAGGAUUCUUGACAGUGUUUGACCGCCUAAUAGAUUCACCCUUGCUAAGCAAUAGAGUUACCAAAAUGCCAUUGUUUAAUUCUAUUUCUUUUGGGAAUUAAUUAGAGCCAGCCUUGAAUUAUAAUGAUAUCAAUGUCAUAUGUUUUACAUAAAUACAGUAGUGAUUAGUGAUUUAUCUUAGGGCAGGCCCUCGUUGGCUAUUUCUCUUUCUAGUUAUUGGUUUUUGCCAUUUAAGAAGAUGAACUUGUCCACAAAAUUCGUUUGGGUUUCCGAAUCAUAAGAAGAAUUUGGGGGGGGGGGGAUCCAACUAAAGAUUUUUUUUCCCUUUAUAUUUAUUAUUUUUGGUAUUUUGGGAGGUGGGGUUAAGCGUGGGGAUGGGGAUGUCUGCUAAUCGUGAAUUUCUCUGUGUUCUUAUAAAGCUUUAAAGUGAACUUUAUCUUUUUUCUGUCAUGUCAUGUGCAAAUUGCAAUUCUUUUAUGGCUAAUUAUUGCAUCUACUUUAUGAUUACUUGAAGGAAAAAAUGGAAAUGCAUAGCAGACUACCAAUGCCAUUGUUGAUUGUCCAAUGUCUUGGACUUGGACUUGGUCCCUUGGAUUUAUUUAUUUGUAUUUUGUUGUGUGUUUCUAUGUGCUAAUUUUGCUGAAACGCUACUUAUGAUUUAUGAGUAUUAUAUUUUUGGUUGUCCCAAUUACUUGUUGUGCUAUCAAAUUAGUAGAUUUCUGCUUAUGACUUUUGAAUGUUGUGUUUGCUUUUAAUUUAUUUCUUAUCUCAAGUUCAUCAUUUAUGUUGGUAUUGCUCAAGUCUAUUCUAAAUGUUAUUUGGUUAUUUCUUGUUGGUUGAUUGUGGAAUUCCUUCACUUGGCAUAUUCAAGAAUAUGGGAU
rnacentral:lncRNA from 1 species